rnacentral:rRNA from 1 species
UACGUAGGGCGCGAGCGUUGUCCGGAAUUACUGGGCGUAAAGCGUGUGUAGGCGGCCUUGCAAGUCGGAUGUGAAAGCCCCGGGCUUAACCCGGGAAGUGCACUCGAAACUGCUUGGCUAGAGUAUCGGAGAGGUUGGUGGAAUUCUCGGUGUAGAGGUGAAAUUCGUAGAUAUCGAGAGGAACACCGGUGGCGAAGGCGGCCAACUGGACGAAUACUGACGCUGAGACACGAAAGCGUGGGGAGCAAACAGG